UAAUCCAAUUAGAUUAAUUGGUUAUAAAGACUAAAUAGUUGAUAAAAUUGAUUUUUGGCAGUGAGUUACAAACGGCCUCUGUUUUAUUUGGUUCAUUAGUUUGAUGGUUUCUGGUUUGUAGUGGUUGGAUAUGGUUUUCUCGGUCAAUUUUUUGGGUUUUCUUAUCUAUCCAAUCUAGAUAAAUUUUUAGUUUAUGGCUUAACAUGGUCUCACCACCGGUCCGGUUUGGGUUGAAAAACACUUGUUCGUAUUAAAUUGAUUAUAAGCUAUUAAAAAUUAUAGGCUAGUCCAACAAUUAAUACAUUUUCUGAAAAUCUUUGAAACCAUCUAUCUUGGUGGCAAGGUCCUUUCUGUUUUACUACCCUUUUUGAUUUUCGAAAUUGAUUCCCAUUAUUAAAUCGGGAUGUGAGUAAAGCUAGAGUCUUUGUUUCUGGGUUUAUCUUAAAACUUGCUUGAAUUUUCUAGGGGUUGUUGAGACAGCUUGUCUUAUGGCCUCUGAUGGUUAUAGCGGAGAGGCUUUUUUAUUCAUUUUGAUGGUAAAGGGUGGCAUGUAAUGAGGUUUCUCUACCAUUUUGAUUCCAGAUGAGCGUGUGGCUACUGAGCUAAAGAAAGCCAUCAUGCAAGCCUGCACUGAGAAGAAGCUUACCCAGUCCCAACUUGCUCAAGUUUAGGGAAGAAUGGUGAGCUGGUGAGAAAAUCGAGUGGGAACAGGAGCCCUAAGUCGAUUGUUGAACCAGCAAAGUAUGUAGAGAAGCCAGCCAAAUGGGGGAAUCAGAAGGUUGCUCCACAAAACAUCCACCAGCCUCGUUGAAGUGGGGAUUGUGUUAACUAGUCAGGGUAUGUUGUAUCUUUAGCCACUAUACCUUUGUAAUUUUUAGUAUUUGCUUUCAACAAGAGAACAUGUGCACACACAUAUAACAACAACAACAAGAAAACAAUGUUUUAAUUUUUUUUUAAAAACCUUUAAUUAAGAGACUAGCAUUGGAGCAUAAAAAUAUUAGUCUCUUAAUUUGGUUUCUUAAGUAAUAUUAAUUAUUUAAAAAUGA